GAAUGUUCGUAAUAGGUCAAAGUUGACAUAUCACCACAAAGCUGGGUCAAAAUCAUUUAUGUCACACCAAGAGCAAAUUGCAACACAGACUGGAGAGAUGCAAGGUGCAAUUGAUCGUUUUGAAAUAGAGUAUAGAAGUACAAAAAAAGGAUGAGACUUGGGAGCAAAGGAAAAAUGGGAUCAAAUGAUAAAGAUGCGAGCAGAUACCACUUAACCUGAUGGAACUCGAACAAUGACAGAUGAGGAAAUUUGUGCAAAAGUUCUCAAAGUCAAAUCAGUCUACAUUAAGGGCUGUGGUUUUGGCCCUAGACCACCACCAUUAAGGUUCUC